GGCGAACGGGUGAGUAACACGUGGGUAAUCUGCCCUGCACUCUGGGAUAAGCCUGGGAAACUGGGUCUAAUACUGGAUAUGACCUUUCUCCUUAUGGGGUUCGGUGGAAAGUUUUUCGGUGUAGGAUGAGCCCGCGGCCUAUCAGCUUGUUGGUGGGGUGAUGGCCUACCAAGGCGACGACGGGUAGCCGGCCUGAGAGGGUGUACGGCCACAUUGGGACUGAGAUACGGCCCAG
rnacentral:rRNA from 1 species